CCUGGUAGUCCGCACUGUAAACGAUGAUCACUAGCUGUUAGCGAUAGACUGUUAGCGGCACAGCGAAAGCGUUAAGUGAUCCACCUGGGGAGUACGCCGGCAACGGUGAAACUCAAAGGAAUUGACGGGCUGCCAAACUCAAAGGAAUUGACGGGNGGCCA
rnacentral:rRNA from 1 species